CAGUCGCCGCGGUAAUACGUAGGUCCCGAGCGUUGUCCGGAUUUAUUGGGCGUAAAGGGAGCGCAGGCGGUUUAGUAAGUCUGAAGUUAAAGGCAUUGGCUCAACCAAUGUAUGCUUUGGAAACUGCUAGACUUGAGUGCAGAAGGGGAGAGUGGAAUUCCGUGUGUAGCGGUGAAAUGCGUAGAUAUAUGGAAGAACACCGGUGGCGAAAGCGGCUCUCUGGUCUGUCACUGACGCUGAGGCUCGAAAGCGUGGGUAGCGAACAGGAUUAGAUACCCCGGUAGUCCCUGUCUCUUAUACA
rnacentral:rRNA from 1 species